UGGGCGCCCAUUGUGUCGGCCGUUGUCUUUAUCGGUAUAAUGAUCUGUUGUUGUGUGUGCUGCUACAAGUGUUGUUGCGCUAGCAACAGAACUACCGUUGUUGUUCAGAAUCCUGGAAUGGGAGGAAUGGGAGCACCAAAUAUUUCAACAACAAUGGUGUCAUCACAGAAUAGUGUCAACAGUUAUAACCAACCCGUGCAUUUUGACCCUAUCAAAUAUUAAAGGGAGAUAGAAUUGGUUUCAUUAAAUAUCUUUCACAAUGUCUGCAGUAACUUUGUUUAAUGCAUGAUGAUAUCUUUUCAACGUUUCUUCAAGUAAAAUAUGCUAUUAGUC